rnacentral:rRNA from 1 species
UACGUAGGGAGCGAGCGUUGUUCGGAGUUACUGGGCGUAAAGCGUGCGUAGGCGGUGUCUCGAGUCUGUUGUGAAAUCUCCCGGCUCAACCGGGAGGGUGCGGCGAAUACUGAGAUGCUGGAGUGCGGGAGAGGUAAGCGGAAUUCCUGGUGUAGCGGUGAAAUGCGUAGAUAUCAGGAGGAACACCUGCGGUGUAGGCGGCUUACUGGACCGUAACUGACGCUGAGGCGCGAAAGCGUGGGUAGCAAACAGG